UACGUAGGGUGCAAGCGUUGUCCGGAAUUAUUGGGCGUAAAGAGCUCGUAGGCGGUCUGUCGCGUCGGAUGUGAAAAUCCAGGGCUCAACCCUGGACCUGCAUUCGAUACGGGCAGACUAGAGUUCGGUAGGGGAGACUGGAAUUCCUGGUGUAGCGGUGAAAUGCGCAGAUAUCGAGAGGAACACCGGUGGCGAAGGCGGCGAUCUGGACGAUGACUGACGCUGAGACGCGAAAGCGUGGGGAGCGAACAGG
rnacentral:rRNA from 1 species